AUGGCCAAUUGCGGGGGAGCACGACAAACGGUGGAUCACCACGAGGGGGCAAGUGCUGACAUGGGGAGGGAAGACGGAACUAAGGGGAACGAGGACAAUGAAGAUGAUGAAGAACAAGAGGAUGACGAAAAAGAAGAGGAUGAAGGAAAGGAGGACGAUGACGAUGAAGAAGGCAAUGGGAAUGAUAAAGACAAGGAAGAUGAUGGGCAGGGGAAGCAGGAUGAAGAUGAUGAAGAUGACAGCGGAGGUGGCAACGGUGGUUCAGGCAGCACGGUGGCUCCGGUCGGGAUGAGGAUCCCGCAGCUGAAAACCCAAGUAGCGAUGAUGAUGAACAAUGCACGAUGCAAUUUCUGA
rnacentral:rRNA from 1 species